AUACGUAGGGUGCGAGCGUUGUCCGGAAUUACUGGGCGUAAAGAGCUCGUAGGUGGUUUGUCGCGUCGUCUGUGAAAUUCCGGGGCUUAACUCCGGGCGUGCAGGCGAUACGGGCAUAACUUGAGUACUGUAGGGGAGACUGGAAUUCCUGGUGUAGCGGUGAAAUGCGCAGAUAUCAGGAGGAACACCGGUGGCGAAGGCGGGUCCCUGGACAGUAACUGACGCUGAGGAGCGAAAGCAUGGGUAGCGAACAGGAUUAGAUACCCUGGUGGUCCAUGCCGUAAACGGUGGGCGCUAGGUGUAGGGGUCUUCCACGACUUCUGUGCCGUAGCUAACGCAUUAAGCGCCCCGCCUGGGGAGUACGGCCGCAAGGCUAAAACUCAAAUGAAUUGACGGGG
rnacentral:rRNA from 1 species